UACAGAGGGUGCGAGCGUUGUCCGGAAUCACUGGGCGUAAAGGGCGCGUAGGCGGUCUCUUAAGCGUGUGGUGAAAGCCCGGGGCUCAACUCCGGGUCGGCCGUGCGAACUGGGGGACUGGAGCUUGUCAGAGGCAGGCGGAAUUCCGGGUGUAGCGGUGGAAUGCGUAGAGAUCCGGAAGAACACCGGUGGCGAAGGCGGCCUGCUGGGACAGUGCUGACGCUGAGGAGCGAAAGCGUGGGGAGCGAACAGG
rnacentral:rRNA from 1 species